CAAAUGUCUAGGACUUUAACUGUGUUCUCUUGAAGAAAUUUAACUUUAAGUUCAUCAGUAGUUCAGCCCACAUUGAGUGAUGUAUAAAAUUUGGUAGAAUUAGAAGAAUAUGAAUGAGUUGCUUCUUGAGGAAACUGCUUAAAAUUUGUAGAACUAGAAGAGUAUGCAAGAGCUACUUCUAAUUGAUUAGAAGGACAAAGCCUAUGUGUGAAGCUUUCAUUGUACUCAUUAUUUUAACUUUGAAAAAAUUUAGUGUUUCUAUAGUAUCACAUGUCAAUUGCAAUUGUCAUUACUUUUGUAAUGUUACAUAUUUUAUGUAGAACUCAUGAUUUAAGAUUGAAAUGUAUGUGCAUUGGUGUAAUAUUACAUUUGAAUGAAAGAGCUCAUUAAUUUGUAUCAAUUUUAUUCCAAA